UGACCCAUCCUCAGAGGCCCUAACAAGAUUCUGUCAGAAGUUAAAGAGAUUAUACUGCCUUAACUGAUAAUUAGCAAUUCUUUUCUUAAGAAAAGGUGUAGGAGUACCCUUCUCCAGAUAACCAUGAAACCUAACAAACAGCACAGCAGUCAGGCAGUUAUGUUCCCCAAAUAGAAAAGACUACGUGGACAGAAUUCCUUCUUGAAGUUCUAAGGGCAAGAAGGGAAACUGGGCACUACUUUUGCUCUGGACAGAGGAAGAAUGUUCUCAGGAAUUAUGCGUCUUUCUGGAGUAUAUCAGAGUGGUGUUAGGUGUUUUCAGUCAUUAUUUCACCAGUUUCCAUUGCUAAAUAAAUAAGCAGAAGGCACAUAGCCUAACCUCAUGAACAGCUCGGAAGGACAGGUGAUAAGUAGUGAGAUUUUUUAAAAAGUAAAUGAGGGGAGGCCAGAGAAGAGACAAGGCCACGAGAAUCGGAUAGCCAUGCCUUUCUUGGACAUGCAGAAAAGGUUCGGCAUUAACCUAGAUCAGUAGUGGACAAUCCGAAGUGCUGAACAGCCCUACAAGUUUCCUGCUCGAUGCCAUGCUUUUGAAAAAUGGAGAGAACGUGAACAUGGAAUCGGUACUAUCUGGGCAGAGAAAGAGUGCAAGAUAGAAUAUGAUUUCAUAGAGUAUAUACUUCAGAAAAAAACGAUUAAAUGUAUGGAUACCAUCUGGAGGCAACGGGAAAAACUGAUGAAGGAAGGGAAGUGCACCCCUCCACCUCACCACAUGGGCAAGGGGGAGCCUCGGCCCUGAGCAGACACAGCUAUUGAUAUCUGGAGGCCAAUUUUCAUGUUCUCUGUUCUCCACUGGAAAGGUUGUUUAUGGAAAACCUCCUUGUCAAAGUGUG